ACAAAGGAGAAACUGUCAAGGAACAAGAAAACAACUCAGACUCUAAUGAAAGGCUGAUACUGAGAAGAUCAGAGCGGGACUCAUAGAGACUUGCUAACCUGCCUGGAGAAAGGGUAUUUGAGGGAGAAGGGACCAGAGAGCCCUGGACCUGAAAAACCUUCCCAAUGAAAACUUGGUUGAAACUGAACACACCAGGACUGAAAAGGCACUUAAAGAGGGGAUCAUCCUACCAGAGACUGUUGCGAUGGAGAUCACAUCUGUUCAGUCUCUAACCUCUUUGUUGAGGCUGACCAGUGAUUUCUGUGAUACGGGCACCUGUCCACUAAGAAUGCGACUGAGACUGGAAAUCUACAGCCAUCCAGAGACCAGGUUGGUAACAACUUUUGUUUG